CACGUAGGGGGCGAGCGUUGUUCGGAUUUACUGGGCGUAAAGGGCACGUAGGCGGUCUGAUAAGCCUGACGUGAAAGGCUAUGGCUCAACCAUGGCACUGCGUUGGGAACUGUCGGACUUGAAUCAUGGAGAGGGAGCUGGAAUUCCAGGUGUAGGGGUGAAAUCUGUAGAUAUCUGGAAGAACACCAAUGGCGAAGGCAAGCUCCUGGCCAAUGAUUGACGCUGAGGUGCGAAAGUGUGGGGAUCAAACAGGAUUAGAGACCCUGGUAGUCCACACUGUCAACGAUGUGCACUAGGUGCUGGGACGGACGUUUCAGUGCCGGAGCUAACGCGGUAAGUGCACCGCCUGGGGAGUAUGCUCGCAAGGGUGAA
rnacentral:rRNA from 1 species